rnacentral:tRNA from 1 species
CAUUAAGAAGCUUUCAUGUGUAAGCAACAGCCUUU